UGCCAGCCGCCGCGGUAAUACGGAGGGUGCAAGCGUUAUCCGGAUUUAUUAGGUUUAAAGGGUUCGCAGGCGGAAUUUUAAGUCAGUGGUGAAAGCCUAUAGCUCAACUAUAGAACUGCCACUGAUACUGAUAUUCUUGAGUAUAGAUGAAGUGGGCGGAAUAUGUCAUGUAGCGGUGAAAUGCAUAGAUAUGACAUGGAACACCAAUUGCGAAGGCAGCUCACUAACAUGUAUCUGACGCUGAGGGACGAAAGCGUGGGGAGCGAACAGGAUUAGAUA
rnacentral:rRNA from 1 species